rnacentral:rRNA from 1 species
GACGAACGCUGGCGGCGUGCUUAACACAUGCAAGUCGAGCGGUAAGGCCCUUUCGGGGGUACACGAGCGGCGAACGGGUGAGUAACACGUGGGUGACCUGCCCUCAGCUCUGGGAUAAGCCUGGGAAACUGGGUCUAAUACCGGAUAUGACUUCGCAUCGCAUGGUGUGGGGUGGAAAGUUUUUCGGCUGGGGAUGGGCCCGCGGCCUAUCAGCUUGUUGGUGGGGUGAUGGCCUACCAAGGCGACGACGGGUAGCCGGCCUGAGAGGACGACCAGCCACAC